UUUGUCGGUCCUAGAAACACCGAUGAAUAAGGGGUGGGCAAGUUCUGGUGUCAGCCGCCGCGGUAAAACCAGCACCUCAAGUGGUCAGGAUGAUUAUUGGGCCUAAAGCAUCCGUAACCUGCUUUGUUAGUUUUCGGUUAAAUCUGUAUGCUCAACGUACAGGCUGCCGGAAAUACUGCAAAGCUAGGGAGUGGGAGAGGUAGACGGUACUCGGUAGGAAGGGGUAAAAUCCUUUGAUCUAUUGAUGACCACCUGUGGCGAAGGCGGUCUACCAGAGCACGUCCGACGGUGAGGGAUGAAAGCUGGGGGAGCAAACCGGAUUAGAUACCCGGGUAGUCCCAGCUGUAAACCAUGCAAACUCAGUGAUGCAUUGGCUUGCGGCCAAUGCAGUGCUGCAGGGAAGCCGUUAAGUUUGCCGCCUGGGAAGUACGUACGCAAGUAUGAAACUUAAAGGAAUUGGCGGGGGAGCACCACAAGGGUGAAGCCUGCGGUUCAAUUGGAGUCAACGCCAGAAAUCUUACCCGGAGAGACAGCAGAAUGAAAGUCAGCUGAAGACUUUACCAGACAGCUGAGAGGUGGUGCAUGGCCAAGGCG
rnacentral:rRNA from 1 species